rnacentral:rRNA from 1 species
AGCGAACGCUGGCGGCAGGCUUAACACAUGCAAGUCGAGCGCCCCGCAAGGGGAGCGGCAGACGGGAGAGUAACACGUGGGAACAUACCUUUUGGUUCGGAACAACUGAGGGAAACUUCAGCUAAUACCGGAUAAGCCCUUACGGGGAAAGAUUUAUCGCCGAAAGAUUGGCCCGCGUCUGAUUAGCUAGUUGGUGAGGUAACGGCUCACCAAGGCGGCGAUCAGUAGCUGGUCUGAGAGGAUGAUCAGCCUCACUGGGACUGAGACACGGCCCAGACUCCUACGGGAGGCAGCAGUGGGGAAUAUUGGACAAUGGGGGCAACCCUGAUCCAGCCAUGCCGCGUGAGUGAUGAAGGCCUUAGGGUUGUAAAGCUCUUUUGCCCGGGAAGAUAAUGACGGUACCGGGAGAAUAAGCCCCGGCUAACUUCGUG